ACGAGUUAGGGUCUUCUAGGCCCGACCUCCCAACCCUAUGUUUAUUGAACCUCUGUUGCCUCGGCGGACCCGCCUCACGGCCGCCGGAGGACCGCUGCAAGGCGUCCUCUGGCCAGCGUCCGCCGAUGGCCAACCACUUAAACUCUGAAUGAAUCGCGUCAUAUGUCUAAGUCUAUGAUUAAAUUAAAGCA
rnacentral:misc_RNA from 1 species